rnacentral:rRNA from 1 species
UGGAAGCGUCUGGAAAGGCGCGCGAUACAGGGUGACAGCCCCGUACACAAAAAUGCACAUGCUGUGAGCUCGAUGAGUAGGGCGGGACACGUGGUAUCCUGUCUGAAUAUGGGGGGACCAUCCUCCAAGGCUAAAUACUCCUGACUGACCGAUAGUGAACCAGUACCGUGAGGGAAAGGCGAAAAGAACCCCGGCGAGGGGAGUGAAAAAGAACCUGAAACCGUGUACGUACAAGCAGUGGGAGCACGCUUAGGCGUGUGACUGCGUACCUUUUGUAUAAUGGGUCAGCGACUUAUAUUCUGUAGCAAGGUUAACCGAAUAGGGGAGCCGAAGGGAAACCGAGUCUUAACUGGGCGUUAAGUUGCAGGGUAUAGACCCGAAACCCGGUGAUCUAGCCAUGGGCAGGUUGAAGGUUGGGUAACACUAACUGGAGGACCGAACCGACUAAUGUUGAAAAAUUAGCGGAUGACUUGUGGCUGGGGGUGAAAGGCCAAUCAAACCGGGAGAUAGCUGGUUCUCCCCGAAAGCUAUUUAGGUAGCGCCUCGUGAAUUCAUCUCCGGGGGUAGAGCACUGUUUCGGCAAGGGGGUCAUCCCGACUUACCAACCCGAUGCAAACUGCGAAUACCGGAGAAUGUUAUCACGGGAGACACACGGCGGGUGCUAACGUCCGUCGUGAAGAGGGAAACAACCCAGACCGCCAGCUAAGGUCCCAAAGUCAUGGUUAAGUGGGAAACGAUGUGGGAAGGCCCAGACAGCCAGGAUGUUGGCUUAGAAGCAGCCAUCAUUUAAAGAAAGCGUAAUAGCUCACUGGUCGAGUCGGCCUGCGCGGAAGAUGUAACGGGGCUAAACCAUGCACCGAAGCUGCGGCAGCGACGCUGAUGCGUUGUUGGGUAGGGGAGCGUUCUGUAAGCCUG